rnacentral:rRNA from 1 species
AUGGUAGGAUAGAGGCCUACCAUGGUGGUAACGGGUAACGGGGUGUUAGGGCACGACACCGGAGAGGGAGCCUGAGAAACGGCUACCACAUCCNAGGAUGGCAGCAGGCGCGCAAAUUACCCAAUCCCGACACGGGGAGGUAGUGACAAUAAAUAACAAUACGGGGUUCUUUAGGAUCUCGUAAUUGGAAUGAGUACAAUUUAAAUCUCUUAACGAGGAACAAUUGGAGGGCAAGUCUGGUGCCAGCAGCCGCGGUAAUUCCAGCUCCAAUAGCGUAUAUNAAAGUUGUUGCAGUUAAAAAGCUCGUAGUUGAAUUUCGGGGUCAGUAGGUCGGUCGUGCCACUGGUAUGAACUGGUUUUACUGAUUCCUCCCUCUUGAAGAACUGUAAUGCCAUUAAUUUGGUGUUGCAGGGAAUCAGGACUGUUACUUUGAAAAAAUUAGAGUGUUUAAAGCAGGCUUUAGCUUGAAUACAUUAGCAUGGAAUAAUGAAAUAGGACGUUUGAUCCUAUNUUGUUGGUUUCUAGGAUUGACGUAAUGAUUAAUAGGGAUAGUUGGGGGCAUUAGUAUUCAAUUGUCAGAGGUGAAAUUCUUGGAUUUAUUGAAGACUAACUACUGCGAAAGCAUUUGCCAAGGAUGUUUUCAUUAAUCAAGAACGAAAGUUAGGGGAUCGAAGACGAUCAGAUACCGUCGUAGUCUUAACCAUAAACUAUGCCGACAAGGGAUCGGAUGAUGUUAAUUUUUUAAUGACUCAUUCGGCGCCUUACGGGAAACCAAAGUGUUUGGG